CUCAAAAUUAAUUUGUUCUCCAUUGAAACCUUUACCCUAAUCAAAACUCACUUCAUCUUCAUAAUCAAAAAUCACUUCAUCUAAGCCUUUACGCUAAUCAAAAUCACUUCAUCUUCAUAAUCAAAAAUCACUUCAUCUAAGCCUUUACCCUAAUCAAAAUCACUUCAUCUUCAUAAUCAAAAAUCACUUCAUCCUCUUCGACCACUGAAAUCGUUUUUUUUCGCCUCACUGCAAAUUACUCAAUCUCUUCAUUCCAUCAUGUGAAAAUCGUCAAUCGAUAGAACGAGGAAGCAAAAUUUCUCUUAGAGCUAAAACUGAUCUGAAGUUUCAUAUCUUCAAACUCAGAACAAUCUAUAAUGGCUUCAAUCAACGGAUUCCCAUUACCUGAGACGCUAGGCAUAAAUUGGAGGCUCGAAUGCGACUUCAUAAUUUAAGGUGAGAUUAAGAAGACUAGUGGAAGAACUACGUCAUUGAGUUGUCCAAGUAGAAAUAGAGCUGAAGAAAUAUCUGCCAAAUUCAUCUCAAGCAAUCCUUUCAGCUGGACCAAUGUUUAACCCCAGCUGAGCUUAGCGAAUCUGAUCAAGACAUUCGUUUUGUUCGCCUACCCGUCAUCAAGUUGGAUGAGGUUUGAAACUUGGUUGUGAAGAUACAAGACCAUUCAAAAUUGUAGAUACAUGAGAGUGAAGAUACAAGACCAUUCAAAAUUGUAGAUACAUGAGAGUGAAGAUACAAGACCAUUCAAAAUUGAAAAUACAAAUAUAUUUGAUUUCUUUUGUCAGAAUCGUAUAUUUAAUUUCUUGUGUAAGAUUCUAAGUAUAUUGAAUGAUACUUCUAUGUUGAAAUA